UUUCAUGAAACAGGAGGGCAUAGCAUAGAAGGAAGCAUCAUCAUAUCACACCUUCAUGCUGCAGAGGAAGACAGGAGUGACACUGCCCACACAGUGAUGGCAAAGAGAAUUUCCACAAGUGUAGGAAGAAUGCAGCUUCACAUCUGGGCAGCACGGCACCUGUGCAUCCAGCCAGCUGUCACACAGUGAUAACAGUGACAACGGUGUCUUCACAUUUUGUAUCUGCUGUGACCUGCGAAUUGGAAAUGGAUGAAAGUGCAUACAAGCCAUGUCUACACAGCGCCACAUGUCAGGAUACUCUUGGGGCUUACUUCUAUGACUGUGC
rnacentral:lncRNA from 1 species